rnacentral:SRP_RNA from 1 species
GCCGGGCGUGGUGGCGGGCACCUGUAGUCCGAGCUACUCGGGAGGCUGAGGCAGGAGAAUGUUGUGAACUCGGGAAGCAGAGCUUGCAGUGAGCGGAGAUGGAGCCACUACACUCUAGCCUGGGUGACAGAGCCCAGGCCAUGCCUGGCCCUUUUUUUUUUUGAGACAGAGUCUCACUCUGGCCCAGGAUGGAGUGCAGCGGCACCAUCUCGGCUCACUGCAACCUCUGCUUCCCAGGUUUCAGCUAUUCUCCUGCCUCAG